GAUGAACGCUGGCGGCGUGCCUAACACAUGCAAGUCGAACGGAGUUUAACGCUGAUGAAGCUUCGGCAGAUUCUUGUUAAACUUAGUGGCGGACGGGUGAGUAACGCGUGGGUAACCUGCCUCAUACAGGGGGAUAGCAGUUGGAAACGACUGAUAACACCGCAUAAGCGCACGGUAUCGCAUGAUACAGUGUGAAAAUAUUUAUAGGUAUGAGAUGGACCCGCGUCUGAUUAGCUAGUUGGUGAGGUAACGGCCCACCAAGGCGACGAUCAGUAGCCGGCCUGAGAGGGCGGACGGCCACAUUGGGACUGAGACACGGCCCAAACUCCUACGGGAGGCAGCAGUGGGGGAUAUUGCACAAUGGGCGAAAGCCUGAUGCAGCGACGCCGCGUGAGUGAAGAAGUAUUUCGGUAUGUAAAGCUCUAUCAGCAGGGAAGAAAGACCUCGUAAGAGGAGAUGACGGUA
rnacentral:rRNA from 1 species